rnacentral:rRNA from 1 species
AACGAACGCUGGCGGCAUGCCUAACACAUGCAAGUCGAACGAGACCUUCGGGUCUAGUGGCGCAUGGGUGCGUAACGCGUGGGAACCUGCCCUUAGGUUCGGAAUAACUCCCCGAAAGGGGUGCUAAUACCGGAUAAUGUCUUCGGACCAAAGAUUUAUCGCCUUUGGAUGGGCCCGCGUUGGAUUAGCUAGUUGGUAGGGUAAAAGCCUACCAAGGCGACGAUCCAUAGCUGGUCUGAGAGGAUGAUCAGCCACACUGGGACUGAGACACGGCCCAGACUCCUACGGGAGGCAGCAGUGGGGAAUAUUGGACAAUGGGCGAAAGCCUGAUCCAGCAAUGCCGCGUGAGUGAUGAAGGCCUUAGGGUUGUAAAGCUCUUUUACCCGGGAUGAUAAUGACAGUACCGGGAGAAUAAGCACCGGCUAACUCCGUG